UACGUAGGUGGCAAGCGUUGUCCGGAUUUAUUGGGUUUAAAGGGUGCGUAGGCGGCCCUGUAAGUCAGUGCUGAAAUAUCCCGGCUUAACCGGGAGGGUGGCAUUGAUACUGCGGGGCUAGAGUACAGAUGAGGUAGGCGGAAGUUGACGGUGUAGCGGUGAAAUGCUUAGAUAUCGUCAAGAACACCUAUGCGAAGGCAGCCUUACUAGGCUGUAAACUGACGCUGAGGCACGAAAGUGUGGGGAUCGAAACAGG
rnacentral:rRNA from 1 species